rnacentral:rRNA from 1 species
AGUUAACGCUGGCGGUAGGCCUAACACAUGCAAGUCGAGCGGCAGCACAGUAAGAGCUUGCUCUUACGGGUGGCGAGUGGCGGACGGGUGAGGAAUACAUCGGAAUCUACUUUUUCGUGGGGGAUAACGUAGGGAAACUUACGCUAAUACCGCAUACGACCUACGGGUGAAAGCAGGGGAUCUUCGGACCUUGCGCGAUUGAAUGAGCCGAUGUCGGAUUAGCUAGUUGGCGGGGUAAAGGCCCACCAAGGCGACGAUCCGUAGCUGGUCUGAGAGGAUGAUCAGCCACACUGGAACUGAGACACGGUCCAGACUCCUACGGGAGGCAGCAGUGGGGAAUAUUGGACAAUGGGCGCAAGCCUGAUCCAGCCAUACCGCGUGGGUGAAGAAGGCCUUCGGGUUGUAAAGCCCUUUUGUUGGGAAAGAAAAGCAGCAGGUUAAUACCCCGCUGUUCUGACGGUACCCAAAGAAUAAGCACCGGCUAACUUCGUG